rfam:Sarcophilus harrisii ctg7180002480044, whole genome shotgun sequence.
UUCACAGGAUGAUAGCAUCUUCUUAAACCCUUGAGGAAGGGAAGGUGCUUGAAAGUCGUGAA